rnacentral:rRNA from 1 species
CUGAGACACUGCCCGGACUCCUACGGGAGGCUGCAGCGACGAAUCUUCCGCAAUGGGCGAAAGCCUGACGGAGCAAUGCCGCGUGUGGGAUGAAGCGUCUUCGACGUGUAAACCACUGUCAGGUCCAAGGACCAACGACCAGGACCAGAGGAAGGGCCGGCUAACCUCGUGCCAGCAGCCGCGGUAAUACGAGGGGCCCGAGCGUUAUUCGGAAUCACUGGGCUUAAAGCGUGCGCAGGCGGAUCGGAAGGCAUCUCGUGAAAUCCCAGAGCUCAACUCUGGAACUGCGGGGUGAACCAUCGAUCUUGAGGUAGGUAGGGGCUGAUGGAACCAUGGGUGGAGCGGUGAAAUGCGUAGAUAUCGUACGGAACGCCGAAGGGGUAGCCAGGUGACUGGGCCUUACCUGACGCUGAGGCACGAAAGCGUGGGGAUCAAACAGGAUUAGAUACCCU